rnacentral:rRNA from 1 species
AUUGAACGCUGGCGGCAUGCCUUACACAUGCAAGUCGAACGGCAGCACGGGAGCAAUCCUGGUGGCGAGUGGCGAACGGGGGAGUAAAGUAUCGGAACGUGCCCAGUCGUGGGGGAUAACGUAGCGAAAGUUACGCUAAUACCGCAUACGAUCUAUGGAUGAAAGAGGGGGAUCGCAAGACCUCGCGCGAUUGGAGCGGCCGAUAUCAGAUUAGGUAGUGGGUGGGGUAAAGGCUCACCAAGCCGACGAUCUGUAGCUGGUCUGAGAGGACGACCAGCCACACUGGGACUGAGACACGGCCCAGAAUCCUACGGGAGGCAGCAGUGGGGAAUUUUGGACAAUGGGCGAAAGCCUGAUCCAGCCAUGCCGCGUGCAGGAUGAAGGCCUUCGGGUUGUAAACUGCUUUUGUAUGGAACGAAAAGGUUUGGGCUAAUAAGCUGAGCUCAUGACGGUACCGUAAGAAUAAGCACCGGCUAACUCUGUGCCAGCAGCCGCAGUAA